UACGGAGGAUGCGAGCGUUAUCCGGAUUUAUUGGGUUUAAAGGGUGCGUAGGCGGACUGUCAAGUCAGCGGUAAAAUUGAGAGGCUCAACCUCUUCCCGCCGUUGAGACUGUCGGUCUUGAGUGGGCGAGAAGUAUGCGGAAUGCGUGGUGUAGCGGUGAAAUGCAUAGAUAUCACGCAGAACUCCGAUUGCGAAGGCAGCAUACCGGCGCCCGACUGACGCUGAGGCACGAAAGCGUGGGUAUCGAACAGG
rnacentral:rRNA from 1 species